rnacentral:tRNA from 1 species
GGAGAGAUGCCGGAGCGGCUGAACGGACCGGUCUCGAAAACCGGAGUGGGAAUCCCCCUCUCUCCGCCA